rnacentral:rRNA from 1 species
AACGAACGCUGGCGGCAGGCCUAACACAUGCAAGUCGAGCGCGCCCUUCGGGGUGAGCGGCGGACGGGUUAGUAACGCGUGGGAAUAUACCCUUUGGUACGGAAUAGCCUCUGGAAACGGAGAGUAAUACCGUAUGUGCCCUUCGGGGGAAAGAUUUAUCGCCAAAGGAUUAGCCCGCGUUAGAUUAGGUAGUUGGUGGGGUAAUGGCCUACCAAGCCUACGAUCUAUAGCUGGUUUUAGAGGAUGAUCAGCAACACUGGGACUGAGACACGGCCCAGACUCCUACGGGAGGCAGCAGUGGGGAAUCUUGGACAAUGGGGGAAACCCUGAUCCAGCCAUGCCGCGUGAACGAUGAAGGCCUUAGGUAAAGUCUUUCGCCUGGAAGAUAAUGACGGUA